AANCCGCCUAGAGGUAAACGGGUGGAUCCGCAAAGUCGGCCCGCGGGAUUCAGCUCGGAAGUCGUCCGCCCUUGGCGAGGGCAGGAGAUCGUCACUGACUCUCCUUGCCUAUUGGGACGGGCUUGUCGGCCCGAGUGCACUUUCCGCGGGCAGAGCGCCACGACCGGUUCUCGGGCGGUCAGAAGGCGGCAGGGGAAGGUAGGCGGGCGCUUCGGCGCGCGCUGUUAUAGCCCCUUUGCCUGUCCCGACCCGCCUGGGGACCGAGGAGCCGCCGCUGGCGCUUCGGGCCGCCCCUUUCCUUCCUUGGGAGUCAUUCGACUGGCAGAGACUGGGCAACCGUGUCUGCCGACCGCUCCCUUGGACGGGACAGGGGGUGGGCCCAGCCAGCACAGGGUCGGUGGCGAAUCGGUCGGCCCUUCACCCGACCCGUCUUGAA
rnacentral:rRNA from 2 species